GACGGAGGGUGCUAGCGUUGUUCGGAAUCACUGGGCGUAAAGGGUGCGUAGGCGGCGCGGUAAGUCGGGUGUGAAAUCUCGGAGCUUAACUCCGAAACUGCAUUCGAUACUGGCGUGCUUGAGGACUGGAGAGGAGACUGGAAUUUACGGUGUAGCAGUGAAAUGCGUAGAUAUCGUAAGGAAGACCAGUGGCGAAGGCGGGUCUCUGGACAGUUCCUGACACUGAGACACGAAGGCCAGGGGAGCAAAACGGG
rnacentral:rRNA from 1 species